rnacentral:rRNA from 1 species
UUAAGGAACAAAGAGCAUAAGGUGAAUGCCUUGGUGAUUAGAGCCGAAGAAGGACGUGGCAAGCUGCGAAAAGCUAUGAUAAGGAGCAAACAUCCGCAAUAGUCAUAGAUCUCCGAAUGAGGAAACUCACUUAAUAGAGAUAUUAAGUAUCCAUUGCUGAAUUCAUAGGUAAUAGGAAGGGAACCCACCGAACUGAAACAUCUAAGUAAGUGGAGGAAAAGAAAGAAACAUCGAUUCCCAAAGUAGCGGCGAGCGAAAUGGGAGGAGGCCAAACCGAAUAAGGAAACUUAAUCGGGGUGAGGGAAGCUAACAAUAUGAUUGAGGUAUCGCAAAGGAAAUACUUGGGAAAGUAUACCAAAGAAGGUAAGAGUCCUGUACUUGAAGCGAGAAAACACAUAAGCUUUACCCGAGUAUCGUAGGACACGAGGAACCCUGCGAGAAAGAUGGGGGACCACCCCCAAAGCCUAAAUACUACUAAUCAACCGAUAGAAAAUAGUACCGUGAGGGAAAGGUGAAAAGAACCCCGGGAGGGGAGUGAAAAAGAACCUGAAACCAUAUGCUUACAAACAGAUGGAGCGAGCAAUCGUGACAUCGUACUUUUUGUAGAACGGGCCAACGAGUUAUGCUGUAAAGCAAGGAUAAUAAAUUAAGUUUAGCAUCCAAAGCGAAAGCAAGUCUUAAUAGGGCGAAAAGUUAUGCAGCAUAGACCCGAAACCGGGCGACCUACCCAUGAGCAGGUUGAAGUUUCAGUAACAUGAAAUGGAGGACCGAACCCACGAACGUUGAAAAGUUCGGGGAUGACUUGUGGGUAGCGGUGAAAUUCCAAUCGAGCUCGGAGAUAGCUGGUUCUCUUCGAAAUAGCUUUAGGGCUAGCGUCUUAAGAAGUGUAUAUCGGGGGUAGAGCACUGAAUGCUCUAGGGGCCGUAUAGGUUACCGAAAGCUAUCAAACUUCGAAUACCGAUAUAUAAAUAAGGCAGUCAGACUACGAGUGAUAAGAUCCGUGGUCAAGAGGGAAAAAGCCCAGAUCAACAGCUAAGGUCCCAAAAUGUAUGUUAAGUGGAAAAGGAUGUGAAAUUGCACAGACAACCAGGAUGUUGGCUUAGAAGCAGCCAUACAUUAAAAGAGUGCGUAAUAGCUCACUGGUCGAGUGGUUUUGCGCCGAAAAUUACCGGGGCUCAAACAUACUACCGAAGCUUUGAAUUCACACGCAAGUGUGAGUGGUAGAAGAGCAUCGUAUGAUAGGGAGAAGGAGUAUUGAAAAAGACUCUGGACGAAAUACGAGAGAGAAUGUUGGCAUGAGUAGCGAGAUGUGUGUGAGAAUCACACAGGCCGAAAACCCAAGGUUUUCCAAGGAAGGUUCGUCCGCUUGGAGUAAGUCGGGGCCUAAGGAGAGGCAGAAAUGCGUAUCUGAUGGAUAACAGGUUAAGAUUCCUGUACCUACGCUUAUCGCCAAAGAGGAGAAGGAAUGACGCAGGAGGAUAAGAUCAGCGCACGGUUGGAAGAGUGCGUCCAAGCAGUAAGGCAGGCAUAUAGGCAAAUCCGUAUGCUGGUAAUGUUGAGCUGUGACGGGGAGAGAAGUUAAGUAUCGAAGGAUCUGAUUUCACACUGACAGGAAAAGUUUCUAUCCAGAUAAGAGUAGCCCGUACCAAAACCGACACAGGUGGGUAAGGUGAGAAACCUAAGGCCAGCGAGAGAACUGUUGUUAAGGAACUCGGCAAAAUGACCCCGUAACUUAGGGAUAAGGGGUGCCUUAGAGAUAAGGCUUCAAGAAAAAGGCCCAAGCGACUGUUUACCAAAAACAUAGGUCUCUGCGAAACCGCAAGGUGAAGUAUAGGGGCUGACGCCUGCCCGGUGCUGGAAGGUUAAGAGGAGAUGUCAGGCAACGAAGCAUUGAAUUUAAGCCCCAGUAAACGGCGGCCGUAACUAUAACGGUCCUAAGGUAGCGAAAUUCCUUGUCGGGUAAGUUCCGACCCGCACGAAAGGCGUAACGAUUUGGGCACUGUCUCAACGA